rnacentral:tRNA from 1 species
CGGCGGUUAGCUCAGCGGUAGAGCACUACCUUGACAUGGUAGGGGUCACAGGUUCGAACCCUGUACCGCCCACCA